GUCUCCAACAGCCAGAGCGUAAGGUGCUUGGAGUUUGGACUCGAAAGCUGAGCAGGGUGAGCACAUCCCCCAGCCGGUUUUGCCUGGGGACAGUGCUCUGAGCUGCCCAGUGCCACAGCCGGUCCUCAUCAGCUGGUCCCCACAGCUGGACUCAGCCGAGGCCAAGUGUUUUGGGACGUGCUCAUCCCGGGAGGCCGACUUGCCCAGGGCUGGCGCCUUGGCAGCUGGGUGGCUGCUCUGAACCCAGCCGGGGGGCCUAGGAGCCUGCGCGGGGAGGUAAGGAUUGCAGAGCCAGAGCCGCACAGGAGCCCGCUGGGAGCCCGCCUGGACCCUGAUACACUUCAUCCCAUCCCACUGCCCACCCGCCCCAGAGACGCGCCAGAUCUCCAUCUGCCGGAGCAGCGGGCAGCCAGGAACAGAGCGGCGAUCGCCUCUGAAGGCAGCGGCAGAUGAACCCCCUUCAGGGCCAUGCCAGUCUCCCUAACAAGCGGCCGGCCUGGACUUUGUUUCCCUGGGAGAGCUCUGACGUCUGCCCGGAGCAGCGGGGCUUGGAGGCCGAAGAACAACCAGUGGGGAAAUUUACAUUGAGAAACUCUCUCUUAGCUUCUUCCCUGUGAACUGAGAAAGAAGCCACCAUUCCUCAUGUCCUCUGGUGCUGCAGGCUGAACCCCAACGUGUGGCAGGAAUGUGGUUCACAGACCUGAGCUGUGCCCUUGCUUCCUUGAUGACUGAGAGUCAACGGGGGGUCCAGAUGCCUCCAAAACCCAGAGCCUUUUUGGCUUGUACAGCCGCAUGCUUCCGCCCUGUCACAUCAGGGGAUGCCUCUCCCCUUGCCAUGCUGUCUCUCUGGACUCCGGUUCUGAAUUUCUGGUGGGAGCGCUCUACCAAGGGCCGGGUUUGGGUCAACAGAUGUCCCUGGGAGGAAGCGGAAAGGGGCAAAGCAGGGCUGGUGGCCUUCACCUCUCAAGGCCUGUGGUCACGUACACAGAGAUGUUCUCUCUGAACCUCUGCGGCAGUCGCAGGGCACCUGGCUCCGACCAGUGCCUGGACCCAGUCCAUCCUGCUGCUCUCAGAUGAGGCCAUUGGGAUGAGCAGAGCGACCUUUCGGGGACAUGCUUCAGUGUCGUUUGGGGAAAGGAGCCAGCUGUUUCCUAAGGCCUGGAUAGCCAACACUACGGCUGCCCCCACACCAGCCAGGUGUGGGCCUCACUGCCUCCCCUCACAGGGACCUGCUGUCCCGAUUCCCACUGGGAUCAUGUGCCCUUUUGCCAAGCAGAGCUCUGGGGUGACUAGCCCUGCCCACUUGCGCGCACCUUGGCCCUGGCCUGGAGGUGUCUGCGGUGCACAGCCUCCUGCACUCUCCCCUUCUGUUGGCAGCUCAUUGUGAAGUGCAAGCAGGUUAUUUGGGGAAGAGUCAGGAGGCAUGGGAGAGUCGUUUAUUUCAAAGAGUGGGCUCCGUUCGUCGGUUGGUGCCUGAGUGACGGAGGCUGUACUUUGCAGAUCAUGAUUAUGAAAGGCCGCAAUUGGCCUCUUGGCUUCUGAAGGUGCAGAUGAUUCAGCCGGGCUGUGGCAUUCUCCAGUUAAACUGUCCCCUCGUCAUCUCUGCCCCGCCUCUGCGCACCCAGGGACCCCCACCCCCACCGCAUUCCCAGGCUGGGGCUUUGUCACUGUCAUGAGCCCUGGAACCAGAAUGAGAUGAGCCCACCCUUCCACAGUGGGGAAACUGAGGCCAGGAGAGGGCAGCUGACUCACACAAAGUGCGACCAGCCUGGUGGCACUUCCCCUGUCGAGUAGGCACUCUGCUCAGGAGCCGGUGGGCCAAGGAUGACCUGCUGCCUUGGGAAGGGCCUGGGUGGGGCAGGGAGGCCGGAGGCUUCACCUCCUGAGUGUUUGCUGGUCUCUGAUGCUAGGGAGAAGGGCAAAGGUUCUCCUGAGGCCCCCCAAACAAACUGACAUGGGAAUGAGUGUCGGGCAGCAGUCCCAGCAGCAGUCAGCUCGGGUGUGCUGGGCACCAGAGGACGCCUGGGGCUGCCCUUAGCUCCUCCCUCUGCCGCGUCCAGGCGCUAAGUCACUGUUGGCACUACGUAUUCUAGAGCAGCCUCUCCUCUCGCCCCUAUGUAUGGGGACUGUUCAGCUGUCAGCAGGCCUGGCACAUAGUGAGCAAGUGAGUGAACAAAAGAAUGGCAAGAUAAUACUGACUUGCAGGGAAGUCCUGAGAACUAUGCGAGGGUCUUUAGAAGACCCCACGUGUCCAGGAUGGCGACAGCAGGUGCAUAACUGAUGGUGGCCCCUCCCUGUUCCAUUCUCCUCGCACCUCUUACAUACACGCCAGAACUCUGAGCUCGGCGAUCAAGACACGGCCCCCAGCCCCAGCCCACCGUUCCUCCUGUCCACUCCCCGUCCCGCCACCCCAGGGGUCCUGCUCCUGAAACACCAGGGGCUCUGCCGCUGCUCUGGGUCACUGGUGCUCUUCCCCACACACUGUGGCAGGAUAAGAAAAUAGGAAGGGCUGGGGUGUGAGAAUCAGGGGCAGGGAGUCUUAGAGUACUUUGCAGGAACCCCCUGGAAUCCCUCGGCUCCCUGGGCUAGACUCCUACUGCUGAACACACCGCACACCUCCCCCUUCCUGGCAUCUGCCCAGUGCUUCCCCUGAAGCUCCUCAGAGGGCAAGGUCCCUGGCCCAUCCUGGGCCCGACGCACAGCAGUGUGCUCCUAAGUAUGGAGAAUACGUGGACGGACAGCAGGACGGGGGCAGGAGGAACAGCCCCCGCUGCUGAGAAGCUGGACAUCCAUGGGGAGGCUGAUGUGGAACCAGACGAGUCCUGUGCCCUGAGGACUGCGCUGGAGUUGAGACGAGUACACGGAGUUGUGGCACUGGCUCACGUGGUCGUGGAGGCUGAGAAGUCCCGCAGUAUCUGCCGUCUGCAAGCUGACCCAGGGAAGCCAGUCACUCCAAGUCCAAAGGCCUGGGAACCAGGGGAACGGACGGUCUCACUCCCAGUCUGGGUCUGAAGGCCUGAGGCCCAGGAGCAGCAGCGCCUGAGAGCAGGAGGAGAUGGAGGUGCCAGCUCGAAGAGCCCACGCGCUCUUCCCCCACCUCUUCGGUCUGUCUGGGCCCUCCGUGGGCUGGAUGGUGCCCACCUGCACUGGUGGGGGAGAUCGGCUUUACUCGGCCCAUGGGAGCACCUGCUGAUCUGUUCCCGAAACAUCCUCACAGACACACCCAGAAACAGUGUUUUACCAGUGAUCCGGGCAUCCCUUGGCCCAGCACAGUUGACACAUACAAUUCAUCAUGUGCAUCCUUACCACCCAAAGCCUCCAGUUUAUGUUAGGGUUCACUCUUGGUGGUGUGCGCUCUCUGCAUGUGGACGAAUGUACAAUGACCUGUAUCCAUCAUUAUGGUACCACAGGGAGUAGUUUCACUGCCCUAAAAAGUCCUUUUGUUCUGCCUAUUCAUCCCUCCUCCCUUCUAUCCCAUUGCAGACACUCAAAUUUUUACUGUCUCCACAGUUUUGCCUCUUCUAGAUGGUCAUACGGUUGGAAUCAUAGACUCUGUAGGCUUUUCAGACUGGCUUCUUUCACUCAGUCACAUGCAUUGAGGUUCCUCCAUGUUCAUGGACCAAUGGUGCACUUAUUUUCAACACUGAAUAAUCUUCCAGUGUCUGGAACACGGUUUAUUUAUCCAUUCACCUACUAAAAGACAUGUUGGUUGCUUCUGAGUUUGGGCAAUUAUUAACAAAGCUUCUGUAAACGCCUGGGUGAAGGUUUCUGUGUGGACCUAAAUUUGCACCUCAUUGGAGGGUGCCCUCUGGAUUGUAUGGUCAGAGUACUUUCAGUUUUGUAAGAAACUGACCAGCUGCCUUCCUAAGUGGCUGUACCAUUUGGCACCCCCACCAGAAUGAAUGGGAGUAGUUUCUGUUGCUCCACACCCUCCUCCGGAUUCAGUGUUGUCAGGGCCUCAGAGGAGGGCCAUUCUCAUGGGUGUGUAGAGGUAUCUCACUGUUUCUUUGGCAGGGUCUUUAGGCCCAUUUUUAUUUGGAUUAUUUGUUUUCUUACUGUUGAAUUUUAAGAGUUCUUUUUGUAUUUUGGAUAAUAAUCCUUUAUCAGAUGUGUCUUUUGAAAAUAUUUCCCCAGGUCUGCGGCUUGCCUUCUCAUUGUCUUGACUAUGUCCUUCGCAGAGCAGAACUUUUUAUUUUAGUGAAAUCUAGUUUAUCAACUCUCUCUUUCAAGGAUUGUGGAUUUGAUGUCUGAAAGGUCAUCACUGAGCCCAAGGCCAUCGAGAUUCUCUCCUCUGUUGUCUUCUAAGAAUCUUAGUUUAGCAUAUUACAUUUAGGUCUGUGAUAUGUUUUGAAUUAAUAUUUGUGAAGGAUGUAUGAUCGAUCUGUGUCUACCUCCAUUUUUGUCCACGUGGAUGCCCACCUGGAUUCCAGAACCAUUUGUGGCAGAGGCUAUUCUUCUUCAUGUAUUGUCUUUGUUCCUUAUCAAAGAUCAGUUGACUAUAUUUACAUGGCUCUAUUUCUGGGCACCCUGUUCUGUUCCAUUGAUCUAUUUGUCUUUUCUUUCAUCAAUUCUACACUGUCUUGAUUACUGUUGCUUUAUAGUAAGUCUUGAAAUUGAGUAAUGUCAGUCCUCUAACCUUGUUCUUCCCUUCUUUGUUGUGUUGACUAUACUGAGACUUUUGCUCCCAUAGAAACUUUAGAAUCAGUUUGUUGGUAUCUACAAAAUAACUUGCUGGGAUUUUGAUUGGGAUUGCAUUGAACAGAUCAAGUUGGGAAAAAGUGACAUCUUUACAAUAUUGAGUUUUUCUACCCAUGCCCAUAGAAUAUCUCUACUUAUUUAGCUUUUCUUUCAUAUCUUUCAUCAGUUCCCUCAUAUAUGUAUAUACAUAUUUUGUUGGAUUUAUACCUAAGUAUUUCAUUUUUGAUGUGUUAAUGUAAAUGGUCCUGUGUUUUUUGUUUCAAAUUCCACUUGUUCAUUACUGGUAUAAGAAAAUGAUUGAUUUUUGUAUAUUAACCUUUUAUCUUACAACCUUGAUAUAAAUACUCAGUUCUAGGAGGGUUUUUUUUUUUUUUGGUCAAUUCUUUUGAAUUUUCCACAUAGACAAUCAUGUCAUUUUCAAAAAAGACAGUUCUAUUUCUUACUUUCUUAUCAGUAUACUUUUUAAUUCAUUUUCUUGUCUUACUGCAUUAGCUAGAACUUCCAGACAAAUGUUGAAAAGGAAUAAUGAGAAGGACCUUUUUUGCCUUGUUCAUGAUCUUAUUGGGAAAGCUUCUAAUUUCUCACUGUUUAAUAAGAUGUUAGAUUUUUUUGUAGACAUUCUUUAUCAGUUUGAAGAAAUUCCCCUGUAUUCUUAGUUAACUCAGAGUUUUUAUCAUGAAUGGGCUUUUAAUCUUGUCAAAUGCUUUUUCCGCAUCUGUUUAUAUGAUUAUAUGCUUUUUCUUCUUUAGCUUGUUGAUGUGAUGGAUUACAUUAAUUGAUUUUUGAAUGUUGAAUCAGCUUUGCAUACCUGCAAUAAAUUCCACCUAGCUGUGUCUAUAAUUCUCUUUAUACACUCUAGAAUUUGAUUUAGUAAUCUUUUGUUGAGGAUUUUUGCAUCUGUGUUCAUGAGAGAUAUUGGUCUAUAGUUUUCUUUUCUUGUAAUGUCUUUGCCUUUGGAAUUAGGGUAAUGCCAGCAUCAUAGAAUGAGUUAGGAAAUGCUCCUUCCACUUCUAUCCUCUAAAGAGACUGUAGAGAAUUGAUAUAAUAUCUUCCUUAAAUUUUUGGUAGAAUUCACCAGUGAAUCCAUCUGGGUCUGGUACUUUCUGUUUUAGAAGGUCAUUAAUUAUCACUUUAAUUUCUUUAUAAACAUAGGUCCCUUAAGAUUGACUAUUUUUGUGUGAGCUUUGUCAGAUUGUGUCUUUCAAGGAAUUGGUCCAUUUCAUGUAGGAUAUCAAAUUUGUGGACAUAGUAUUCCUUGAUUAGUUUUUUAAUGUCCAUGGGAUCUAUAGUGGUGCCCCUCUUUCAUUUCUGGUAUUAGUAAAUUGAGUCCUCUCUUUGUUCUUAGUGAGACUAGAUAGAUUCUUUGACUUUAUUGAGCUUUUUCAAAGAACCAAUUUUUGGUCUCAUUGGUUUUCUCAAUUGAUUUCCUGUUUUCAAUUUAAUUGAUUUCUGCUCUAUUUCUUUUCUUCUGUUUACUUUGGAUUUGAUUUGAUCUUCUUUGUUUAGUUUCCUAAAGUAGAAGCUCAGAUGACUGUUUUAGAUCUUCCUUUUAUUCUAAUAUGCACACUUAAUGCCACAAAUUUCCCUCUAAGUACUGUUUUGGUGCAUCCCCCAAAUUUUGAAAAGUUAUCUUUUCAUUCUCAUUUAAUUCAAAACAUCUAAAAUAUAGCUUGAGAUUUCUUUUUUGAUCCAUGUAUUAUGUAGAAGUGUGUUGUUUGAUCUCCAGGUAUUUGGGGAUUCUCCAGUGUUCUUUUUGUUGUUAAUUUCUAGUUUAAUUCCAUUGUAGUCUGAGAGCAGACAUUAUAUGAUUUCUAUUCUUAAAAAAAUGUUAAGGUGUGUUUUAUGCCCAGAAUGUGAUCUAUCAUAGUGAAUGUUCCAUGUGAGCUACAGAAGAACAUGUAAUCUGCUAUUAUUUAAUGAAGUCAUCUACAGAUGUCAAUUUUAUCCAGGUGAUUGAUGGCGUUGCUGAAUUCAAAUAUGUCCUUACUAGUUUUCUGCCUCCUGGGCCUGGCCUGUCCGUGUCCAAUAGAGGGGUGUUGAGGUCUCCAACUAUGAUAGUGGAUUCAUCUAUUUCUCCUUGAAAUUUGAUUAGUUUUUGCCUCACAUAUUUUGAUUCUCUGUUGUUAGGCAUUAAGGAUUAUUAUGUCUUCUUGGAGAAUUGACUCCUUUAUCAUUAUAUGAUGACCUUUUUUAUUCUUGAUAACAUCCUUUGUUUUGAGUUCUGCUCUGUCUGAAAUUAAUAUAGUUACUUCUGCUUAAUUUUGAUUAGUGUUAGCAUGGUGUAUUUUUCUCCAUUAAGUUACUUUUAACCUAUUUCUGUUUUAAUAUUUUACAUGGGUUUCUUUUAGACAACAUACAGUUAGUUCUUGUUUUUUGAUACAUUCUACCAAUUUUUUUCUUCGGUUGGUGAAUUUAGACCAUUGACAUUCAAAUUGAUUAUUGAUAUAGUUGGAUUAAUAUCCACCAUAUUUGUUACUUUCAUAUUUGUUGCUACUGCUCUGUUUUUCCUAUUUUUGUCUUCCACUCUUUUUCUGCCUUUUGUGGGCAUUUUUUUUCUUGAAUAAGAAAUAUUUAUUGUGUUAAGUUCUUGAUAUUUGGGGAUUUAUGUGUUAAAGUAAAUACUCUUCCCACCGCCCCCAACUUUAUUGAGGUAUAAUUAACAAAUAA